rnacentral:rRNA from 1 species
AGAGUUUGAUCCUGGCUCCCAACGAACGCUGGCGGCGUGCUUAACACAUGCAAGUCGUACGAGAAACCGGGACUUCGGUUCCGGGAGUAAAGUGGCGCACGGGUGAGUAACGCGUAGGUAAUCUACCCUUGGGUUUGGAAUAACCCGCCGAAAGGCGGACUAAUACCGGAUAAAAUCUUUCGGAGGGAUCCGGCAGAUCAAAGGUGGCCUCUUCACGGAUGCUACUGUCAAAGGUGGCUCCAUGAAUGCUACUGCCUGGGGAUGAGCCUGCGUCCCAUUAGCUUGUUGGUAGGGUAAUGGCCUACCAAGGCUACGAUGGGUAGCUGGUCUGAGAGGAUGAUCAGUCACACUGGAACUGGAACACGGUCCAGACUCCUACGGGAGGCAGCAGUGAGGAAUAUUGCGCAAUGGGGGAAACCCUGACGCAGCGACGCCGCGUGGGUGAAGAAGGCCUUCGGGUCGUAAAGCCCUGUCUAGAGGGAAGAAAUUCUCAAUGGAAUAAUACCCAUUGAGAUUGACGGUACCUCUGGAGGAAGCACCGGCUAACUCCGUGCCAGCAGCCGCGGUAAU